UACAGAGGUCUCAAGCGUUGCUCGGAAUCACUGGGCGUAAAGGGUGCGUAGGCGGGUCUUUAAGUCAGGGGUGAAAUCCUGGAGCUCAACUCCAGAACUGCCUUUGAUACUGAGGAUCUUGAGUUCGGGAGAGGUGAGUGGAACUGCGAGUGUAGAGGUGAAAUUCGUAGAUAUUCGCAAGAACACCGGUGGCGAAGGCGCUCAUCUGGCCCAAUACUGACGCUGAGGCGCGAAAGCUAGGGGAGCAAACGGG
rnacentral:rRNA from 1 species